UGAGGCCUACCAGGCGACGACGGGUAGCCGGCCUGAGAGGGCGACCGGCCACACUGGGACUGAGACACGGCCCAGACUCCUACGGGAGGCAGCAGUGGGGAAUAUUGCACAAUGGGCGAAAGCCUGAUGCAGCGACGCCGCGUGAGGGAUGACGGCCUUCGGGUUGUAAACCUCUUUCAGCAGGGAAGAAGCGCAAGUGACGGUACCUGCAGAAGAAGCGCCGGCUAACUACGUGCCAGCAGCCGCGGCGG
rnacentral:rRNA from 1 species